rnacentral:lncRNA from 1 species
CUACUACAUCAAUCAGACCACAAGGUGCCCUUUCAGGAAAGUAAUGGAGUAUAAUCAACCUAACUUCAUUGAUCUACAAGGACUACUGAAAAUUAUAAAACUUUCUUUGGGAUUCUAACAUGCCAGAAACCACUAGAAAAAGAAGUUUGAUAUCUCAGAGGUUCUCCUCAUCGUGGUAUAGAGACCAAAAUGAUACUUUCAAACUCCCAAGGUCAUUAACUGAGGAAUAAUGCCAUCUGCACCAUGAGAGUCAGUUUUGAACAAGAAAGCCUGACAGGUUUCUCCGGAAAAGUGACCAUCCAUGGAAUGAAUGAAAUGUUCCCUUUCUAUUCCAGUAAGUAAUUGACUUGUAACUAAAAAUUGAACUGGCUGCUAUGUCAACUACAAUGUGAGCGGCUGCUGGCACAGGUGUUGCUUACUCUUUAGCCUGGAAAGAAAAGGGGCUUAACCUGUGAUUAAAUUUAAAGUCAAUUGACCUCAACAUGAGAGUACAUAAUUCUCACUUGCCUAUGGAAUGGCCUGAGUCUGUUUUAACCCCGAUUCUGGCACCUGUGUUUUUAAUGUUUGGAGUAGCUAAAGCUAGAGUUGCUCGUUUGGUUAGAAAUAAAGUGGGUGGAGAACAGUUCUAAGCAAAUAACAAAUGAUGGUCAGCCGACUAAGUCUUUAAUCCAGCGCUCAAUGUGUUCUUUUCUUUUAAUGCAUUAAUUGUAAGUUCGUGUAAAUUAUUAUUCAAACUUUUUUUAAAAAAUAUGGAUUCAUGGGCAACCAUUUUAUUACUAAGGAUACAGAGUAAAUCUAAAUCUGUGAAUUACUAACAAGCAAAGGAUGUGAGAAUGAUGACACUUUCAAAUGCUUAAGUUUGCUUAUGUAACCUAUCACAGGCUUUUUAAAUAAGCCUUGCACUUUAAAGAUUUUCUUAGCCCUAGGAAUGAAAUAGCAAUAUUGUUUUUCCAGGUUUCUGUAAAUUAACAAAAGACUGUUUACUUUUAGCAAGAUGACCUUGUUUGAGUUUUGGAGACAAACAUAUAUCUACUUCUCAAAAGCAAAAUAAAAAUCAAUGACAUCUAAAAUUACCAUUUACACUUGAAGCUAUUCUCCAUGCAUUUUAUGUAAAAUGACUGCAUGCUAAGAAUAAGUCUAUAAGGUGAGAACAGCCUAGACUGUUGUUUUUUCUUUCUCAUUUCCUUUUUAACCUGAGAAUUAGAAGAAAGUACUGAUGAUGCUUGCUUAACCCUGCUUUUAGUGCCAGGCUGUGACCAGCUCUCUGUGAAACCAUUUCUGACCCUCUGCUUGCAGUGGUGAACAUGAAUUUUUCCCCUUCCUUGCCCAUCACUGUCAGUCAAUUAUAGGAUUGAACUGAACCAGAAAAUCUGGUACAGUCUGGUAAUUAGUACAAAGGGUUUCCAGUCUAGUGUAAAGACGGGGAUGCAAGAGCCCCAGCAGUCACAGAAAUCGUUUUGAUUGGCCAUGGACAUUGCCUUUUAGUGCUGCUCGGUGACUUCCUAAAGAUAUUGCCUCCUACCCUACAGGUUUUCUCCUUCAAGUACAUUAUGGACCUUUUCAAAAGUCAUGUGUGUGUGUGUGUGUGCGCGUGUGCGUGCGUGCGUGCAUGUGUGUGUGUGUGUGUGUGUGUGUGUAUACGUUUCUUUUUUUAGAUCCAACUUCUCCCAUUUUUAGUCUGUCAUUUUUGCCUAUCAAACAGACACAUUUUGACUUGCCCAACAAAGAACCAAGUUAUCAACACUCACAGAAACUGACAUUUUUAAUUCAGGCUUCAUUAUGUCUUUGAAUUAUGACAGUGAAGUACAAAGACGUUUUAAGAGUUUUUUCAUUAUUUUUUUAAAUCCAGCAUUGGGAUGUUUAUCUUUCUUUAGUAUUCAUAUUUCCUUUUCUAUCUUUAUUCUCAGUAAUAUAUAAUUAGCAUUAUCAAAACCAUCAGCUAUUAUCCUUUAUGACUUUUGACCUUUAUUUUUUAAUAUGUCUCAAGCUAGCAUUCUCUAAAACAAAAAUUCUAUGAGAGAUAUUAACGAAAUAUUUUAGGGUUAUAAAAACAAUGAAAUGAUUUAAAACAUGAAUCUUUUUAAAUAUCAACAUUACAUGAAUAGGCAAGUAACACAUUAUAUGAUAAAACUAUAGUGACAAAAUAAAUUUCAGAAAAAAAUUAUUCUGUAAAUCAAGCUUGCAUUUGGUGGUAAGUGUAACUUUAUAGUCUGUAGUUCAUCACACAUUUUUAACCACUACUAUGGAGUUAUUGGCUUAAUGUCAAUGGUAUUUAUAUACUUUUUGCAGAAAAAGUAAUUUUUUGUACUAAUUACCAGACUGUACCAGAUUUUUUGCAAACAUCCUCUUUGACUAUAGAUUACAAAAACUCAGUAGUCACACAUUAGAUACAACAAAAGUGUUUGGUAGCUUGUCAUUUUAACAAAUGCUGGCCUUCAAAAGAUAGAUAUAAGUACAUCUAAGGGCAAAUUUAAUGUCUGACACUCUGUGCAAAACUGCAAAAGCAACAGUGCCCAAAAUAACAGAAGCAAAAGAAAGCACAAGGUUUUCCAUUUCCAAGAAUGCUAUUCUAGCACAAUCUGCAUCAUGAUUUUAGUCAUGAUGCAUAUGUGCUGUGAAUCUUUUAAAGGAUCAUUUAUUUACCCACAUCUUAAUGUAGCUUUAAAUAUCUGUUUUAUCCUACAUACAAUCUUAACAAAAGUAGUUAUGUUACCAUGUCUGGUACUUAUUUCUACAUGUCUGAAUUUUGCUAUUAAAUUUCAAGAAGGUUAAUAUUGCUUUUGUAACCCUGUCAUGAGUAAUGCAUUUUCCCAGUAAACAUGUCAUACUUUUAAAAGCUGUUCAAGAAGCAGUAUUUCUGUUGAAAGUUUUGUGUUUAUUUCUCUAUUGUUUUUUUAACCAUAAUAUAGUGUAAUGCUUUGAAAAGAAUACGCAUAUUUAUGUAAUUAACAUUUUUUGUUUUCAGCAAAACCUUGCCCAUUAAAAACGAGAAGAGUCUUAGAAAACCAUAUAAAUGGGCAACGUUUCAGUGACAAUAUUUGCAUUCAAUUUUAAUUCACCACCGAGUCUAUAUCUUGAAAUGUAUCUAUAAAGGACUGAAGGAAGAGUACAUUCUGAUAAUAGUUUUAUUUUUUAAUCUAAAAUAUAUGUUGAAAUUCCAAAGGUGCUUGCCACAUGUGGUAUGGCAGUAUUCUAUGUUCCAUUAUAUCUGAAUGCUUUGUGGGUCUGUAUAAUAUUACAGGCUUUAAUAUGGAUAUAAACAUUCUUUUCUACCUCAGCCUUACUCCUAGUGGCAGGAGUAAGGCUUGGGAAAAACUCUAAAGAUUAUCCAGUCUCAUGAUUUUCAAACUGUGUUCCCUUGAGCUCUUAGGCUCUUUGGGGCUACUUAGGGCUGUGGGGGAAGGGAGACCAAUUGGCCUCUUACCUCCUGCCUUUAUCUGCUGUGUCUAUUAGAGCCCCACGUAAAAUUGGAAUCCCAUGAUGGAGGGAAAAAGUAAAAUACUAUUGACUGAGCCUCUCUUACAGAUAAGGAAAGCAGAGUUUACUUAAAGUGGCACUCUGAAUCAGUGACAACCAACCACUUGUCCCUUAGUCUUAAACCUACUAAACUGCAAUAAACUUUUCCUACACAGUUAUGGGUCUUUUUGUAUUGUCAUCCUAAACAGCAUUACUAAAAACACACACUAAGAUAUCUAUAGCCCAGUGUUCAAAAUCAAGAUAUUUACUGAGGAUACAAUAUCAAGGUAGGUAAUGCAAUUGAGUAAAAUGUUGCAGACCAAAAUCAAGCCCUCUAUUUGGCAAUACAUUAAAUUUGGUGCAUUACUGUAGACUUUAUGUAAAAUAUUGAUUCAUUUAUUACUUAGUAAUAUUUUGUAUUUUUAAAUUUUCAAUUGUGGUUGAAAAAAACACAUCUAAACCAUUUUUUUAAGUGUAAAGUUCAAUACUUAACUAUAUUCACAUUUUUGUACCUGGGGGUAUCUUGCAUGGUGGGAAAAAUUAAUUAAUUAAGACAAAUUCAAAAGAAAAAGAAUUAAAGAAAGUAAAGCUGAAUUAAGAUGCUACUUUUCUCAAAGCAUGUUUUAUGGAAACUAUUCCUAUAAGAUGUGCAAAGUAAAAGAGUGACAUGGUCAAAUAAUCUUUGGAAAUAUAGCAUGUUAUGUCCCUUUAUAAGAAAUUUAUAGACUUGUAUUUUAAAAACUCUGAGAAAUCAUAUUGGAAAGAUCUCUUUGAACUAUGUAUACUAGAGUUUCCUAAACAAUUUUUCCAUAGACUUUCCUCACCUAUUUCACAUAAAAAAUCUAUUUUUAUUCUUCAGGGCUAAUGUUUUAUUGAAUACAUUUUGGGAAACUUUCCUCUAACAGCACUUUUGCACAUUAAAAAAAAAAAGAUCUGUAAGGUACUAUUUAAGUUAUUUAUGUUAAAUGGUUCUGAAUUUACCAAUCCUUCAUCCUCAUUUUGUGGAUAUUAAUGGACAUCCAUUAAUUCAAUCACCCAGCAGAUAUUUACGGACAGUGCUAAAUGCUAGGAAAUACAGUAAUGAGUAAAUCAAUCUUAUCUUAUAGAGCUUAACGUCCAGGGGAAAAAAAUCACAAAGAGAGAGGGAGAGAGGAAAAA